rnacentral:rRNA from 1 species
UACGAAGGGGGCUAGCGUUGCUCGGAAUCACUGGGCGUAAAGGGUGCGUAGGCGGGUUUUUAAGUCAGAGGUGAAAUCCUGGAGCUCAACCCCAGAACUGCCUUUGAUACUGAAAGUCUUGAGUAUGGGAGAGGUGAGUGGAACUGCGAGUGUAGAGGUGAAAUUCGUAGAUAUUCGCAAGAACACCAGUGGCGAAGGCGGCUCACUGGCCCAUUACUGACGCUGAGGCACGAAAGCGUGGGGAGCAAACAGG